GCUGAGGGUAGCUUUUGAGUCCUAGGAUGAAAAAGGUGUGGCAGGAGCCUGAGGCACUCUCUGCUUACAUAUCUGCACUGUCUCUGGGUUCAGGAGGCUGGAAGUCCAGGAUCAAGGGAGGAGAGAGAGAGGCCGCUUGAUUGCUGUCCUGCUGAGUGAUCUUCUCGGUCACUGGCUCUGCCCACACUUGUUGCUCCACAAGCCGCCAUUUGGACAUGCUCUGAGUUGGCUGUGCCCUGCAGCGGCGAUUAUCAGAGCUCCCCGCUGAGCCCUGGAAAGGUGGAUGUGAACAAGAAAGGGAGGGAGUGAUUCCUUCUUAUCAGGCAGCAUUUUCCCUUGACCUCUCUACAAACACCCUCUUCCCGGGCCCUGGUAGCAAAGACUUUGCAGCUGGAAAGACUUGGAUUCAACUCCCACUUCUGCCGACAGCCAUGUGGCAUCAGCUAAAUCAAUUACACCUUUCAUCUCAGCGCCUUCAUCAUAUUCACCACAGCACCUUCAUCAAUAAUUGAGUAUUCUCAAUUAUUCUUUCCACGUGUGCCCAAAAGGAAGUGUGCAAGACCCUCUCCAAACGUGACAAAGGCUCAAGGACACCACACCCAGGAAGUUGUGGACUUGGAGCCAUCUGCAACCAUCUCGCUGAUUUCCUGUCUCAGCAUCCCAUGGCAGAACUGCCAGCAGACUUGGGGAGUUUCUCUAAGCAGCUGGGGACUGGCUGGACAUGAUGUGGUGAGCAGGGGCACCACUCAGCAAAGCGUAGGGCACUCACUCAAAUCCUGCAGGGCAUCAUCUAAUGUGACAUUGAAAGAUCUGCCGGAGGAGAGUUUUCCAGCAGUGGGGCUGGGGUUGGCAGGCAGCCUCUGUGCACCCCAACCCCCUGGGAGACAAAGGAGCCAAAGCAGCCAGAGCCCGUUGCUAACUGGGAUGGCCACACACAAGCUGGAGGCAGGGACUGGGUUGUCUCCAUCAUCUUUGAGAACCCGCAGGAUGCUGGGCAACCAUGUGGCCAAUCUUUGGGGAGCUCACCGCUGAGCAGCAAUGAGGAACGGACACCAGGACCCCAAGUUAGACCCUGCGGGUCCUACCUCUUAACAUUACUUGUCAACAUUACUUAAAUGUUGGCAAUUCUGUGGACAAGGCAGGCCAUGCAGCCUUUGGGGGUCUCAGUGUCCUCCUCUGUUAGGUCUAAGUAGACAUUCCUGUCCAUUUCAUUUAAGGAGCGCCCAGCUGUGGUGAGCGCUCAGUAAAAACCAGCUAGUUGUGGCGACUUCCAGCCUUGAUCAGAACUGAGUCUGACCGCUUUGUUUGUAACUUCUCUAUGAAAUCGGCCUCCCAGGGACCAUCCACAUCUCACAUUGGACAUUGAUGUGGGUCACUGGCUGUGAAUACCUUUCCAGAAAGGGAAAGAAAACAGAUUCUGCUUUUCUGGGGCUCAUACUUCAUGCACAUCCUAGGGCUUGGAAGUUUGAUGAUCUUGGGCAGAAACGGGCAAACUUCUGUCCCCAGACCAAGUCUAUGAAUCUAAGAACAAU